rnacentral:misc_RNA from 1 species
AACGCAUAUUGCGGUCGAGGCUCCGGCCGAGACCAUGUCUGCCUCAGCGUCGGUGUGAACCCCACACUCCCCUCUACUGGUGGAGUGGAUCUGGUCUCCCCACUACCUGGUAGUGGGCUGGCCGAAAGUCAGAGGUUUAAGCUCGGACCUAUAUGGCAACAGCAAGGUAGGUAGCUCGUCUACUCCAGCUGAUGCUUUGGGUGCUUGCACAAGCCCGCAGGAAAACACCACCUUUUCGACCUGAGAUCAGGCAAGGCUACCCGCUGAACUUAA